UGCCUUACACAUGCAAGUCGAACGGUAACAGGGAGCUUGCUCCGCUGACGAGUGGCGAACGGGUGAGUAAUACAUCGGAACGUGCCCAGUAAUGGGGGAUAGCUCGGCGAAAGCCGGAUUAAUACCGCAUACGCCCUGAGGGGGAAAGUGGGGGACCGCAAGGCCUCACGUUAUUGGAGCGGCCGAUGGCUGAUUAGCUAGUUGGUAGGGUAAAGGCCUACCAAGGCGACGAUCAGUAGCUGGUCUGAGAGGACGAUCAGCCACACUGGGACUGAGACACGGCCCAGACUCCUACGGGAGGCAGCAGUGGGGAAUUUUGGACAAUGGGGGAAACCCUGAUCCAGCAAUGCCGCGUGUGCGAAGAAGGCCUUCGGGUUGUAAAGUAC
rnacentral:rRNA from 1 species